UGUUAGAUUACCGGAGGUAAAGCACUGAAUGGUGGCGGGGCCGAUAAGGUUACCAACGCCUAUCAAACUAAGAAUGCCGGCUAAUUGAUGCAUAGCAGUCAGACAGUGUGAGAUAAGUUUCAUUGUCAAAAGGGAAACAGCCCAGACCUACAGCUAAGGUCCCGAAUAGAUGCUGAGUGGAAAACGAUGUGGAGUUGCGAAAACAACCAGGAUGUUGGCUUAGAAGCAGCCACUCAUUAAAAGAGUGCGUAAUAGCUCACUGGUCGAGUGACUCUGCGCGGAAAAUAUAACGGGGCUAAGCAUGAAACCGAAGCUUGGGCUUGUCGUAAGACAGGGGUAGGGGAGCGUCGAGUAUGGGGUGAAGUCAGAGCGGAAGCACUGGUGGACUGUACUGGAGUGAGAAUGCCGGAAUGAGUAGCGAGAAUUAUGUGGGAAUCAUAAUGGCCGAAAAUCUAAGGUUUCUUGGGGAAGGUUCGUCCGCCCAAGGUAAGUCGGGAGCUAAGCUCAGGCCGAGAGGCGUAGGCGAUGCACAUACGGUAGAAAUUCCGUAACCACCGAAACUUAAACAGAGGGACACUUCAGGAUAGCGGAACCCGGGCGUUGGUUGACCCGGGCGAAAGGGAGCGAAAUAAGAGUAGCGAAGUCCGCGAUGCCUGGAGGCGAGAAAAGCUCUGAGGUAUGCUAAGGUGCCCGUACCGCAAACCGACACAGGUAGAUGAGGAGAGAAUCCUAAGGCCAACGGGAGAAGGGUUGUUAAGGAACUCGGCAAAUUGACCCCGUAACUUCGGAAGAAGGGGAGCCCCCUACGGGGGGUCGCAGAGAAAUGGCCCAAGCAACUGUUUACCAAAAACACAGGUCUAUGCUAAAUCGAAAGAUGACGUAUAUGGGCUGACGCCUGCCCGGUGCCGGAAGGUUAAGAGGAGAUGUCAGGCAACGAAGCAUUGAAUUUAAGCCCCGGUAAACGGCGGCCGUAACUAUAACGGUCCUAAGGUAGCGAAAUUCCUUGUCAGGUAAGUUCUGACCCGCACGAAAGGCGUAAUGAUUUGGGCACUGUCUCAACAGCCCGCCCGGCGAAAUUGUAGUACUGGUGAAGAUGCCAGUUACCCGCAACUAGACGGAAAGACCCCAUGGAGCUUUACUGCAGCUUAAUACUGAAAUUCGGUAGUACAUGUACAGGAUAGGUGGGAGACUGAGAAAUACAGGCGUCAGCUUGUAUGGAGUCGCUGUUGGGAUACCACUCUUGUACUGCUGGGUUUCUAACCUGCGGCCGUGAAUCCGGUCGGGGGACACUGUUAGGCGGGCAGUUUGACUGGGGCGGUCGCCUCCCAAAAGGUAACGGAGGCGCUCAAAGGUUCGUUCAGCACGGACGGAAAUCGUGCAAUGAGUGUAAACGCAUAAACGAGCCUAACUGCGACACCGACGGGUGGAGCAGUAACGAAAGUUGGAGUUAGUGAUCCGGUGGUAUGUGAGUGGAAAUGCCAUCGCUCAACGGAUAAAAGCUACCCUGGGGAUAACAGGCUGAUCUCCCCCAAGCGUCCACAGCGACGGGGAGGUUUGGCACCUCGAUGUCGGCUCGUCGCAUCCUGGGGCUGAAUUCGGUCCCAAGGGUUUGGCUGUUCGCCAAUUAAAGCGGCACGCGAGCUGGGUUCAGAACGUCGUGAGACAGUUCGGUCCCUAUCUGUUGCGGGCGUAAGAGAUUUGAAGGGAGCUGUCCUUAGUACGAGAGGACCGGGAUGGACGUACCUCUGGUGCACCAGUUGUCCUGCCAAGGGCAUAGCUGGGUAGCUAUGUACGGACGAGAUAAACGCUGAAAGCAUCUAAGCGUGAAACUCCCCCUAAGAUGAGAUCUCUCAUCCUUUAAGGAGUAAGGACCCAGAAAGACGAUCUGGUUGAUAGGCCGAAGGUGGAAGCGCAGUAAUGUGUGCAGCUGAUCGGUACUAAUAGUCCGAGGGCUUGACCU
rnacentral:rRNA from 1 species